rnacentral:rRNA from 1 species
CACCAGGUUGAUUCUGCCUGACGUAGACGCUAUUCCCUAAAGAUUAACCCAUGCAUGUUUUUGACAUUUGAAAAAUGGACUGCUCAGUAAUACUCACUUUAUUUUAUGUAAAUUUUUAAUUAACUACGUUAAAGUGUAGAUAAGAUGUUUACAGUAAGAGUGAGACC